rnacentral:misc_RNA from 1 species
CCCGCGCUUGCUCCUUACCCCCGCAUGCGGUUUCCCUUGUGUAAACGUCGUCUCUGCGCGUCGCUUGCGGUCUCAUCGCCUUCAGGUGUGUGAUGGGGGGGAGUGACGCCACUCUGCAUUAGAGCAGCACGCGUUGCGUGUGUUUGCAGCAGUAGAAGGAAACAUGGACCGACUUGCAGGAAGUUUCCUGAGCAACGGCGACGUCGCCAACGCCUCGUCCCUGUACAACUCAUUAGAAAAGCUGAACCCAACCAGGUACAGUCGCAUGGCACGCAUCUGCCGUGUGCUCCUCAACCCGCAAGGGGUGCCGCUGCCGCAUCGCCAUCGCGACAUCUGCGAAGCGCUUCUAGAUCCUCUCGUGCCGCCAGAAGUGCUCCUUCGCGACUCUGCGGAGAAUGUGCAGAAGUCGUUUCAACGCCUGGCCGUAUGCGCGCAUCCCGACAAGAACCCAAACCCGAGCGCCAACGAAGCUUUUCUUAGACUAACAAUGAUGAAGGACAAGGCGCUGGAGCUGCUGCGCGAUGGGGUGGAGCGAAAGUGCGAUGGAGCAACUGAGGCCCCUCCUGGCAAGGCGGCAGCCUCGAAUGGACGCAAGGGCAAGCCCAAGAUGCAGAAUUCUGGCCCUGCGGCGCCCACCGUAGCUCACAGACGGCGGCCGUUGAGACCGGGGGUUCCUCUACCCGAAGCCGCCGCUGCAGUUACUUCCGACACCACCGCCGCCGCGGUCUCCUCCAAGAUCUCCCAACUGCGAAGGACCAAAAUCACGCUGAACGCCCUGAAGCGAAAGGAUAUCGCGGAUGAUUUCGAAAUCUUCAGCGCCACGCAGCGCACCACGGCGGUGCAGUCGGAGGUGAGUCACAGCGACGUGGAGGAGGAUAACCUCGCCACCACAGUGCCGGUAAUGUCCACGAAGGAGAGAGCGCGGCGCGCGAAUCGUGGGCGAUCGCAGUCCAGCGCUCCACAGGAGAGGACGAAGACUCUGCCUCGUGCGUCGUCGCCCAACACGAACCCAUUGCUGUCCAGCAGCCUCUAUGACGCGAUGCCGGUGCCCCCACACAAGCCGCUGUCCCCAUCGCCUCAGACGUUAGAAGAUCCCACCGGGAGUGUCAAGAGCAGCGGUGCUGGUGAUCGCGAUGCGUCAGCCCUCUACUCACCAUCCAUCCCUACCGCCGCCAUCUCCGCUGACAGUGAUGCGAUCCGGCGGCAGAUUGAUGAAGCAUGUCUUCGUUUGCGAGAGAUGCGCCUGCAGCACACCACGGUGCACCUCGAUCUCGACCUUAGCUUUGAAGCGUACGAGCGCAGCAAGCAGCCACAGUGAGCGGAUAUGUUACGCCGGCUCGAUUUUCUCAGUCGCGUGUACUCGGGGGGGACGUAGAGGUGACAACUAGAUCGCAACGGUUGUAGCUAUAAGUAUGCGUGAGACUGCCUCAGAGCAGGCGAUAUGGAAGACUUAUGGCGAUGGAGGGCCGCAGGAGAUGCAGAGGGCACACGGGUACCUUCUUGAUGUAAGUAGCCUUCCUUUUUCUCUCACGAGAAGAGAGCAGACAACAACAAAGAGAGAGAUCACCGGCACAACCGAACACACCAAUUACUUAACAGUCAAACACGUGCGGUCAUGUAUCCUGUGAAACCUCAUGGAAAGAGAGCAGGGAUAACGAUGGCAACGACUAGCUACACCCGCACACACACACACACACACACACACACACACACACACACACGAGAGAAGCAGCCUCAUGUUAUGCAUUCGAGAAUAUAUAUAUAUGCAUUUAUGUAUAGAUGUAUGCAUAUGUAUGUAUAUACUUAUGUUCGGCUCCUCAGCUCUCUCUCUCUCUCCUUUACUGCUCUCGUGUUCAUGUUCGCUCACACGCACACGCCUGGUGUGAGUGUGCAUGGGGCAUGCUGCUCUGUUGUUUUUAUCUGAUAUCUUGCUUUCCCCACUGAUGGCUGGCGUCUACCUUCGCCACUCACAGCGUCUGUCGGUGGGCAGGGGGGUUGCAACGGAAGAGAGGAGUAGGCGAAUUCGGGGCGUCGAGAGGGGCAGUGGCGAAUUCGCUCCAUCCUUCGCUCCCGCCGCUUCCAAGGCGCAUUCCUCAUAAACUCUCAUUCAUUCGCCUUGAAAAGGUCACCUUUGCUCCACAGUGUGCUAAC